GCAGCGACGCCGCGUGAACGAUGAAGGCCUUCGGGUUGUAAACCUCUUUCGACAGGGAAGAUAAUGACGGUACCUGUAGAAGAAGCUGCGGCUAACUACGUGCCAGCAGCCGCGGUAAUACGUAGGGGGCAAGCGUUGUUCGGAAUUACUGGGCGUAAAGGGUGCGUAGGCGGUUUUCUAAGUCUGGUGUGAAAUCUCCGGGCUCAACUGGGAGGGUGCGCCGAAAACUGUCGGGCUUGAGUAUGGGAGAGGAGAGUGGAAUUCCUGGUGUAGCGGUGAAAUGCGUAGAUAUCAGGAGGAACACCUGUGGUGAAAGCGGCUCUCUGGACCAUUACUGACGCUGAGGCACGAAAGCGUGGGGAGCAAACAGGAUUAGAUACCCUGGUAGUCCACGCCCUAAACGAUGAAUGCUUGGUGUGGG
rnacentral:rRNA from 1 species